UGAGAUUUCAGGUAAUGAAACUCUUACAUACUCCUCCUCCACAACGCUCCACAGAUCAUAAGCAAGAAGAUAGACUUCUAUUCUCAUUGCCCAAUAAUCAUAGUUCUCCCCUGUAAAUAUUGGUGGAGCUAACAAGUUGACAUUUGAAGCCAUUUGAAUUACUCACAACUCAAGGCCCUUAAAGAAUACUGUUCUGAUACCACUAUUGGAAGAAAAAGCUUGUUGUUUUUGUGUUUGUAAUU
rnacentral:lncRNA from 1 species